rnacentral:lncRNA from 1 species
CAGCUUCCUACCCGUAUGUGUGGUCACUCCCCAGUGACCCUCUGCACCUUCAGGUCACAGGUGAGGGGCCCCUGCCCUGCCCCACCUACUUCCUGGGCCCAAAUGACUGACCUAAGCUGAGUGCCCAGUGGAGCCCUGGGGGUGAUAGAAAGUGGGUGGGGCACUGGCCUCCUGAAGUCAGACGACACAUGGAAGCUAUGGUGGAGGAGGGGGGUGCUCAUGAGAUCCUCGCCUCAGGCCCUGGGGCCAACGUGGGGUGUGCAUCCCCUGGUGCCUCUGUCCCCUCCCGUCCAGGCGCCUACAGGGAGCCCACCCUCCCAGCCCAGUUGGGCUCACUAGUGCAGCCUGGAGACAACCUGACCCUCCAGUGUCACUCUGAGGCUGGAUUUGACACAUUCGCUCUGAUGAAGGAUGAGGGGCUCACGCCUCCCGUGUGUCUAGAUGGGCAGCCCAGCCCAACUUCUCCCUGGGCUGUGUGACCCCCACCCACGGGGACCAGUACAGAUGUUAUGGUGGACACAACCUCUCCUCCACAUGGUCGGUCCCGAGUGCCCCCUUGGACAUCCUGAUCACAAGUGAGGAGCCCCCUCCCCUUGACCAGUCUGUUCAGGACCCUGGACACAUGGUCACUGCUUGGGGUGAUGGGAUCCAGGCGGAGAGUCAGAAGCAGAGGCUGAGAUGGGGCUGUGGUCUAAGGAAAGAGACUGAGAAACGGACAGUGAGGGCCAAGGAAAUAAAGGACACUCAUAAGAGAGACAAGAGGAGCUGAAAGGGAGUCACACAGAGUCCCAGCAGAGAGGACAGUCAUCACCCAGCUCAGGGUCAAGGGUGUGUGAAGGGGGAAGCAGAUCUAUACAGGUCACGAAUUUUCCUCCCNGGGGGGGGGGGUGCUCAUGAGAGCCUCGCCUCAGGCCCUGGGGCCAACGUGGGGUGUGCAUCCCCUGGUGCCUCUGUCCCCUCCCGUCCAGGCGCCUACAGGGAGCCCACCCUCUCAGCCCAGCCGGGCUCGCUGGUGCAGCCUGGAGACAACCUGACCCUCCAGUGUCAUUCAGAAGCCGGAUUUGACACAUUCGCUCUGAUGAAGGAUGAGGGGCUCACACCUCCCGUGCGUUUAGAUGGGCAGCCCAGCCCCAACUUCCCCCUCGGCCUUGUGAGCAUCACCCACAGGGGCCGGUACAGAUGCUAUGGUGGACAAAACCUCUCCUCCACGUGGUCAGCUCCCAGUGUCCCCUUGGACAUCUUCAUCACAGGUGAGAGACCCACUCCCCAUAUUUCUGUCUGCUCAGGGUGUUGGGGCCAUAGUCACCGCUAGGGGUGAUAGGGUCCAGGUAGAGGAUAAGGAGCAGAGGCUGAGAUGGAGUCUAGGAACAGGGACAGAGAAAGGGACAGUGAAGGCCAAGGAAACAAAGGACACCCAUCAGAGAGACAAGAGGAACUGAGACGGGGCACACAGAGUCCCAGCAGAGAGGACAGUCAUCACCCAGCUCAGGGUCAAGGGUGUGUGAAGGGGGAAGCAGAUCUAUACAGGUCACGAAUUUUCCUCCCGCAGGCCUAUACAGGAAACCGUCCCUCUCGGCCCAGCCGGGGCCCUCAGUGUCCUGGGGAG